rnacentral:lncRNA from 1 species
CUCUUCCACAAGAUCUGAUUCAACUCCAGAUCCUGAGCGUUGCAUCUGGCAUUGGUUGAAUUGGUAAUAGGCCAAUCCAUUGAAUGGAGAGGGUGGCAUGAUACGCUUGAUCAUUCCCCUAUGUUCUCAUAAGGAAGAACAAUGUGAAUGGAAGACAAGAAUCAAGGAAAUAAGCAGUAUUGGGAGAGAGAAGAGAGGCAGGGAGGUCCUGAGGCAAGAUGAUGGAAAGGAAAUCAACAACAUGCUUAGCAAGACAUAGAGAAUAUGACUGCCUUCUUUGAGGACAAGGAGGAAAUGGGCAUUCCUCCCCAAAGUUAUAGUAUGUGAGGUCUAGUAAACGGACCCUGUUGACAUUAGGCCAACCACACAGGGCACAGGAGACGCUAUCGAGGCCCAAAGAAAGUUGGGAGUGAUACAGACAGAAUUGGGUGCCAAGCUCAGGUCACGGUAUGACAAAGACAAUAGGGGCUCUAAAUCUCCCCUGAAUCCUAACUUUCUCCUUUCCUUUUGCAAGGUCACCCUAUCACGGUCACCGCAAUGGUACACUCAGAGGCGUUUUUCUCGGACUCAGAAGAGUCAGACGUAGAGAAUGGCAAUAUGCAUGUAAUUUAUUUCCUCUUCUUGCCUAAUUUUAAAAUCUUCCUGUUUCUUCUUUGUAAACAUUUCUUUGUAGCUCUUCUCUUUCCCCCUCCUUUUACAAUUGUCAUCUCAAAGGUCCUGGUAGCCUCCAGGAAGGUGAGGUUAUACAAUUGACAAUGUUUUUAAAAUGUUUCUCCACCUUCUUCACCUACUGCAUUUUAACAUUGCAUGGAUUUCCAACCCUACUAUGCACCAUACAUCAACUGGUGUGUCCCUGAAUGGCCCAGGCAAGAAGUUGUGCUGAAGUCUGAAGCAUUGGCCCACAUCAUGUGGGGUUGGCCCCUGGGAAGUUUUUUCUGGGAUGGACUCUCCCUUCACUGCCGUGUUCCUCCACAUAUGGCUCUGGAAAAGCAAGUGUGUUCUCUACCCUGCAGCUGCCUACACUCUUGGAGGAGGAGGAGUCUGUUGACAUCAACCUUCUUUUCCGAGAAUGCACAGAAGGAAUCAACGAUGUAAAAAGAGAGGAAGAAGAGGAAGAAGACAUGAAAUUCAGCGUUCAUGAGGAGCUUGCCGGAGUGCCUACAACUGUGUGUGAAUAUGGAGGCGGAGAUAGGAAUCUGAUGGGGAACAUGAGCACAGGCAAG